UGGGCAACCUGCCCCUCUCUCUGGGAUAACCCCGGGAAAACCGGAGCUAAUACCGGAUACUCCGGCUGGAUCGCAUGGUCCGGCCGGGAAAGGUCCGCCGGAGAGGGAUGGGCCCGCGGCCUAUCAGCUUGUUGGUGAGGUAACGGCCCACCAAGGCUUCGACGGGUAGCUGGUCUGAGAGGAUGGCCAGCCACAUUGGGACUGAGACACGGCCCAGACUCCGUACGGGAGGCA
rnacentral:rRNA from 1 species